rnacentral:rRNA from 1 species
GACGAACGCUGGCGGCGUGCCUAAUACAUGCAAGUCGAGCGAACAGACGUGGUGCUUGUACCUCCGGCAUGAGCGGCGAACGGGUGAGUAACACGUGGAGAAUCUCCCUUUAAGAGUGGGACAACAUCUGGAAACGGGAGCUAAUACCGCAUAAAAACUUGAACCACAUGUUUUAAGAUUGAAAGAUGCAAUUGCAUCAACCAAUAAUGAUAUCGCGUUCGAUUAGCUAGUUGGUAAGGUAAAGGCCUACCAAGGCAAUGGUGCGUAGCCGACCUGAGAGGGUGAUCGGCCACACUGGAACUGAGACACGGUCCAGACUCCUACGGGAGGCAGCAGUAGGGAAUCUUCCGCAAUGGGCGAAAGCCUGACGGAGAAACGCCGCGUGAGUGAUGAAGGUCUUCGGAUCGUAAAACUCUGUUAUUAGGGAAGAACGAGUGUGUAAGUAACUGUGCACGUCUUGACGGUACCUAAUCAGAAAGCCACGGCUAACUACGUG